AACUUUAUAAUAUAGCCAGUUGCGGAAACCUCACCGUAUCAAGAUUAUUUUAUAUCCCGGCCUCUCACGCCGGAAACAGGGGUUCGAUUCCCCUUGGGGCUA
rnacentral:tRNA from 1 species